rnacentral:tRNA from 1 species
GAUAUUGCGCCGGUAUGAACGGAUAACUUUGAUGGAGUUAAAUAUGAAAUUAAUACAUUUCCAAUAUCU